CCCAGCUCUGUCCUUGCUCCUAGAGAUGAGGGUCGUGUCCUGUCCACGACGACCACUCACACACAUGAGGCUGCAGACGCAAUACGCAGCUCUGUGGGCCUCAGCCAGUGUCUCUCCAGCUGCCCACCUUCGCGGUGAAUGAUUGAGUUCUGAGGAGGAGGGUCCUGAACAUGAAGUCUUUGCACCAGUCUCAAGGUCAGGAGGCAAAGAUACCCAGCCGUGUUCACAUCGUGGCACAUGCUUCAUAUCAGUGGUGAAUUUCUGCCAGAUCCUCCCCCAUCUCUAGAGAGCAAUCUGGCCAGAGCGUUGGCGUUAACUGGAGAAUAAAUCACUGAUGCUAGGGAGGGGGCACUGGCCAGUCCAGCAGUGCCAGCGCCACCCUCUGAGUACCCAGGUCUGUGGCAUGCCAGCCACUCGCAGCCCCUGAAUCCCCUCACACGUGGCCGUCACCUAGGAAGUGAAGGGGUGUGUGAAGUAAAGGAGAGGCUAGAGAAUAGAAAAAAGAAGACUUCCAAAGAGGAACCAGAGGAAACAGGCUGAGCCCCUCACAUCCCCUCCACACAGUGUCUGCUGCCCAUGGACAGCCCUUCCCUACAAACGCCCUGGCUUGGCCUCCCUGCUCAUCAGUCUCUUCCAAGAGGCCAACUUUGGACGGGUUUCUGGAGCCCAGAAGUCUGAUGGUGGUUUUCCAC
rnacentral:lncRNA from 1 species